AGCAGAGCUGGGAGGCUGAGAGGACAGAAUCUGCGUAAAUGUGGUGACUUCAAUAGACCCUAAUAGGAAGCUCAAAUAAUACAGUAUAUGUAUAACAGCAUUUCAGCCAGGGAGGAAGAAAAGAACCUGACUACCGAACCAGAAGGGAAAACUGCUACACACCGCCCUGGUUAUUAGGCACAGAGAAGACAUUUUUGCCAUCCUCAUGGAACUUUUGAUCAGAAACUGGUCAGACAUUCCCAGAGUGGUUGAGAGCCUGUCAAGGUCACUGCCAAGGACAAGAGAGUCAAUUAGUAUGCAGAUCAGAGGCAAGGAGUUCAAAGUCUCUUCUCUUACAUAGUGUCAAGAUGGAGAGAGCAUUUUGCUGAUCUGGGUUAUUGUCUAAGGGGCCUCACUUAGAAGAAAGUGUGAAGAUGAGAGAAGAAGAAGGGAACAAAGGAAUGGUGAUGCUGGCAUUGGAUGAUUACAGUUCUCUUCCCCGAGAUGUUCAGAGUCUGAAUGACCUUGAAAAUUCAAGAGCGAAACUCUGAUACCACAACUUCCUCUUUCCUCCACUGUUUGUGUAUCAGCACACUUCUAGUUUGCUGCUGACCAGAUACUAUAGACCAUGGCUGAAUCCUCUGACUUACUCCUAUGGAGUUCAGUGAAAGCAAAAUGGAUCCAGGCAUCUAUCAUCUCCUACAAGGGAGUUUGGUAACAUCAGGAGGUGGCCAGUAUCAUGAAGCCAAAACACAUGUGCUGCUGCACUGAAGAACCACGUGGCAAAUAUAUAAAAGCAUGGCCUGCAGCAUUCCACAGACACAGAAACCUUCAUGGAAUUUUACCAGCAUCAGGAUUGAUUGCCAGCUUGAGGAUUCUCUAUUGGCAGCAGGUCCAAGAGGGACACCGCUUCUUUCUCUAGAUCCAGUGAAAGUGUACUACAGGCUGGCUCUGGAGGCAGCCCGACUGCUGCAGAAUCCUCAAAUCCCUCUCUCAGAAAUGGACUUGGUAGAAUCAUGGAGCGAUCCGUGUUCUGUAUUUAAUCUUAGAUCAUGAGAAAAAGUUAAAUACUGAAAUGGGAGGCUCAGAUAAAAGUAUUAGCAACACCAAGUAGCUCAAAAAUCAUGAGUUACCCCCCAUCCCCCAAAAUAUCAUGAGAUUGGUUUAAAAUAUGAGAUUUUUAAAUUAUAUAAUUUGGGGGUCCUUUUUAUUUGCUGCCUUGGAUUUUGAAUCCCUGGGCACGCUUGGCUCACAUUUUCUAGCUUUUCUCUUCCAGCAUGGGGGCUAGAAACUUAUUUUUAUUUUAAAUGAAAGCUGAGAUUCUUUCCUAAUCACAUGCCUCCAGGAGCAGGCGCUUUAAGAAGAACAUCAACUAUUGCAAGACUCACAAUAAAAUCACAAGCGUUGGCAACACCAGAAAUGGCUUCGCUUCAGCAAGAGAGAAAAUCCAUAGGUAAAAUUGUUAAUUAGUCCUGGACAAAUGAGGGCAUUAAGGAAGCAGAUACUUAGAUGUAAUCAGGAAUGAGUAGGUGAGAUGCUUGUACAUGUACAGAAAUGUAAGAGAAGCUCACAUAAUCAGGGACGAGACGAUAAGGUAUAGCCUACCUCACCCUGUGUCACCCAUAGGGGGUGGAAUACAGUUUUAUUGAUAUGAGACUUGUUGACAGGCCCAUGGAGCAUAAAUGCACCAUCACAUCACUCUGCUGCUGUACUUAUUAGUGUUUGAACCAUUGAAAAGGUCAGCAGACUGGCUGAGAGAACAGAGGUGGUGGUGUGAUUAGUUUUUUUUUUAAUCCACUUGGUGUGGACAUUUUUUCCUUCUCUCUCCGCUGUCCCUCUUACUCCUUUUUUAGUUUUAAUUAUCAACUUUUUUCCCCGAAGAGUCUUUUUUGGGGAGGAGGGGGGUUGUUGCAUUUUUAAAUCAUUCAUAUGUUCAACUGCAGUAGGAGAAUGCUAUUUGAUUCACUUCCAAAAUGAAGGGCUUUUUAAAAAAAAAAGUUGAAGUGCUCCAAUAAUUUUAAAUUGUUCUGCAUAGUGCAUGCCCAGAACUCUGAUCCUUUCCAAAUGCAAUGCUUCACUUUUUUUUUUUUUUAAGAGCACUUCAUUUUGGAAGUGAAUUAGGGUGUUCUGGGCACGUGCACUGUAGACCAAUUUAGGUUUCCUAGAUUGCUUCAAUAAUUUGAAGAGUACUCCAGUCACUUUUAACUAUUCUCCACUACCCGUGCCUGCAACUCCAGUCAUUUCUGAACUGAAGCAAUUUUAUACUUAGGACAAAUUCUGCUGUUCAACUGAAAUUGUUCCAUACUGCAUAUUA